AAGGAACAUAAAGACUGUUAUUAGCCGCUGGAGUAUAUAUGGCGAUGUUGUCAUAUUGUGCAUGGCAUGAAGCACAUGGGCUGCCGGGUAUUUUCAGGUCGCAGCUAAACUUGCACACUGUCUACCACUCCGAACAAGCGUGUACUGAGCCACCCAGGAAUCUGCAUAACAAAUACUUAUAUCAGAGAUCCAAGACUAGACAGUCAACAAUGAGCACAAUAGUGGACUGCAGCAGAACCAAAGAGAGAGAGCGACUGAAUCCUAAGGAGGAAUGAAGCCAAAGCAGCUGGUGAAGAGAGUAAGAGACAGAGAGAGACUGGAGGCACCUAGAGGGGUCAUGAACAAGAGAUAAAGCCAUAAAGGGCAGAAUAAUGAAGAGGACACAGACGUCAUGGACAAGAUAUGAACUGGAUAUACGGAUGCGGCACAUGAACGAUUAGAUAAAUUAGAUACAAAAA